UGGGAUAGCUCAGUCAGUAGAGCAUGAGACUCUUAAUCUGAGGGUUGUGGGUUCAAGAACCACACUGGGCAAAA